rnacentral:snoRNA from 1 species
CUGCAGCCAAUUAAGCCGAUUGUGCUCUCCGUCCAUGGGGGCCCAGUGUGCCAUGGCUGCAAACAGUAGCCUCCUUGGUAGUGUAUGCAGCCUGUUGAUUGUAUGGGUUGCCCUAAGGGACCUUGGAGACAGCC